AUUGAACGCUGGCGGCAUGCCUUACACAUGCAAGUCGAACGGCAGCGGACCUUCGGGUGCCGGCGAGUGGCGAACGGGUGAGUAAUAUAUCGGAACGUACCUUUCAGUGGGGGAUAACGUAGCGAAAGUUACGCUAAUACCGCAUAUUCUGUGAGCAGGAAAGCAGGGGAUCGCAAGACCUUGCGCUGAUUGAGCGGCCGAUAUCAGAUUAGCUAGUUGGUGAGGUAAAGGCUCACCAAGGCGACGAUCUGUAGCGGGUCUGAGAGGAUGAUCCGCCACACUGGAACUGAGACACGGUCCAGACUCCUACGGGAGGCAGCAGUGGGGAAUUUUGGACAAUGGGCGCAAGCCUGAUCCAGCCAUGCCGCGUGAGUGAAGAAGGCCUCGGUUGG
rnacentral:rRNA from 1 species